AAUCAACGCUGGCGGCGUGCCUAACACAUGCAAGUCGCACGAGAAAGGGGAGCAAUCCCUGAGUAAAGUGGCGCACGGGUGAGUAACACGUGAAUUAUCUACCUCCGAGUGGGGAAUAACUGAGAGAAAUCUUAGCUAAUACCGCAUAACACUUACGAGUCAAAGCAGCAAUGCGCUUGGAGAGGAGUUCGCGGCAGAUUAGUUAGUUGGCGGGGUAAUGGCCCACCAAGACGAUGAUCUGUAUCCGGCCUGAGAGGGCGCACGGACACACUGGAACUGAACACGGUCCAGACUCCUACGGGAGGCAGCAGUGGGGAAUUUUGCGCAAGUGGGGAAACCCUGACGCAGCAACGCCGCGUGGAGGAUGAAAUAUCUUGGUAUGUAAACUCCUUUCGA
rnacentral:rRNA from 1 species